UACGUAGGGCGCAAGCGUUGUCCGGAAUUAUUGGGCGUAAAGAGCUCGUAGGCGGCUUGUCACGUCGGGUGUGAAAGACCGGGGCUUAACCCCGGUUCUGCAUUCGAUACGGGCUGGCUAGAGUGUGGUAGGGGAGAUCGGAAUUCCAGGUGUAGCGGUGAAAUGCGUAGAUAUCUGGAGGAACACCGGUGGCGAAGGCGACAUCCUGGACCGGUAUUGACGCUGAGGCGCGAAAGCCAGGGGAGCAAACGGG
rnacentral:rRNA from 1 species